rnacentral:rRNA from 1 species
AAGGAAGCUUAAGUGACUGAGUGGCGGACGGGUGAGUAACGCGUGGGUAACCUGCCUCAUACAGGGGGAUAACAGUUAGAAAUGGCUGCUAAUACCGCAUAAGCACACAGCGCUGCAUGGCGCAGUGUGAAAAACUCCGGUGGUAUGAGAUGGACCCGCGUCUGAUUAGCUAGUUGGUGGGGUAACGGCCUACCAAGGCAACGAUCAGUAGCCGGCCUGAGAGGGUGGACGGCCACACUGGGACUGAGACACGGCCCCAGACUCC